rnacentral:sRNA from 1 species
ACCCAAUAAAUGGUUGACGAAAGUUUAGCGCAGGCUCUGUAGAGCCGUUUCCCCUAGGCCCAAAAAAUGGAAGAGUUUGGGCCGUUUUUU